GCUAAGGCCUUUCAGUGUCCACCCUAAUAUGUUAGUGCUUGGCUCUAUCGAAUGACUUUGUCCCUUACGAGGCCUUUCACUUCUCACAAUCCUAAGCUAUCUUCUAAAAAAAGUGGAUCUUCCUAAUCAAUAUUGCUCGAUAGAAAGGGAGUCUUUUGCCUCCUUCUAAGGUGUCUGUCAGGUUGAUGUUUCCUUAUCCCACUCUAGUGCUGGGAGGAAGCCUUCUUUCGCUAUCGGGAUACGUUGGACUGGAAAAAAGCAAUGGCCUCCUGUACUUGGCCCG
rnacentral:lncRNA from 1 species